CACCUAUUGCCGAGUCCAGCCUGCUGGGUACCAAAAGAAAGAGCACGAAGAGCUUUUUGGCAUAAGGAUGGCGACAUUUCCAACAGCCACAGUAUCAGACCUCGCAACGUGCACCUAGAACUUUCAUGGCUGGAAGGAGACUGGAUACGGAAGCACAAAGAAAAACUGACGGUUACGAAUGCAAAUCCCGUUCCCCACCUGGGAAAGCCCAGUAGAGAGCACCCCUCUGAGGAUUCUUGCCGUGUUGUCGCCUCAUCCUUGGACUCUUCUCUGAAUACAGAUGUAGAAAGAGGCAAACAAAUCCUGUGCCAAGCAGAUACCAUUUACUAGGUGGAGCCCACAGAUAAGUCAAGGUCUGGGAACGUACUGCAAGUGUACGCUGUUACCACUGCUUGGUAAGUUGUUCACCAGUUUUAAUGCUCUGGGAUUAAAUACUCACAAAUGGCUUCAUUUUCACUGACCU